UGAGAGCGGCGGACGGGUGAGUAAUGCCUAGGAAUCUGUCCUACGUGGUGGGGGAUAACGUUCGGAAACGGACGCUAAUACCGCAUACGUCCUACGGGAGAAAGCGGGGGACCUUCGGGCCUCGCGCCAUUAGAUGAGCCUAGGUCGGAUUAGCUAGUUGGUGAGGUAAUGGCUCACCAAGGCUACGAUCCGUAACUGGUCUGAGAGGAUGAUCAGUCACACUGGAACUGAGACACGGUC
rnacentral:rRNA from 1 species